CUACCUAGACUGGAAGCCAGAAGCCGCGGUUGCUCUCAACCAAUCCUGUAAAGAACUAUCUGCCCUGCAUUUUCAGACUAGGACUUCAUUGGUGAACACACCAACAACCCAAGCAAUCAUCAGUUGCCGCAUCAUCAGCGUCGGCAGAUGUAGUGGCUUGCAGAGAGUAGGGGGGCGAUUGGUUCUGAAUUGGCCUGGUUGAGAUUAAGAGUGAUCGAGCGAUCGGGAAGCGAGAUGGCGACUUGAAUUUGUUGUCUUGGAUUGAUGAAAUUGAUUCUGCAGUUCGUAUCAGAGAAAUUUUCCUUGUAGGAACUAAUAACGAGUGAGUGAGGAGAUGGGGCGGUUCUACAUUCUGUGCAGGAAAUGAUAGUUUGAAGAAUGUUUGAAUAUUUUUUCCCGCAGGAGUACCAGGAGGGGAUUACUUGAGUCAGCAUGGAGUAGGGUCUCGUGUUUUGGCAUUUAUGGUCUACCGUUAAUGUCUUUGUUCACGAGUUUCUGGGUGUUUCAUCAGCAGUGAUUCUGCCCUAAGAGCACUGAUGUUAAUCUAAGAAAAGGGAAUUGACGGCUGGAACAUCAGCCAUGGCAACUGGGAAUGCGUUAUCAGCCAGGCUGCUCUGUAUGUCGGAACGCAGCAGCGGCAGCAGCAGGCCUCCUUGCAGACAAGUCUCGUCUCUGGGCUGUAAUCGUUACGCCGUUCGGCUCCCUAUUGUAUCCUCUGAUUCCACCAUCUCAACGAUUCUUGGAAUGCAUCACAAUUGUGACAUCACAGCAGUCAGGCGGGUGGCCAACACAAAUGAACAGUCUGAUGAUUUCAUCGCUGUACCAAAAAUCCGUGCAUGGCGAGGGAAUGCAAAUGGAUUUGCAAAGGGGAGAAGGGUAGUGUCUAUGGCUAUGGUUUCGUGGGCACCAGAGUCAUCGUCACACAAUGAGAUGCAGUAUGAAGACUUUCGUUCGGAGAUAUUAGAACAAGUUGGCGAGGUAGGGGCUGAAUCCAACAAAACUCGAUUACCCUGGUCGCAAUUCCAGCCGCAACAGUUAUCACUUUUCAACGGAGGGAGAUUGAGAAGCGGUGCCCGAAGAAUCGUCGAUCACCUGAUUCAAUCAACUCAGCCUGUAGUGCAUUCUUUGGACCUCCAUCGUAGUCAGAAGGUACUUAGCAAGGGCUUUAGGAAUGCCGAUCAAGCAACGGGACAUGUAAGCACUGCGAAUGCAGUUAACAUGAAUGCUGACACAAGCAAUUCCGAAAAGAAUGUGGAGUGCCAUGUCGAGGCUGUGUCUUGGCGGGAGCGUCAUAUCAGUGCAAGUAUCAGAGUAGAAGCUUCCCAGGAACAGGUUUGGGAGGUUUUGACUGACUAUGGGAGACUGGCGGAGUUCAUACCUAAUCUUACUCGCAGUGAGCAAAUCCCCUGUCCUCAUCCCGGGCGAACGUGGCUUCUUCAAGAAGGCAAACAGAGCGCCAUGUAUUGGCAAAUUGAAGCUCGGGUCGUUCUUGAUCUGGAGGAAUUUCUUGAUGCGAAGGAUGGUAGAGAACUACGAUUUUCUAUGGUAGAUGGUGAUUUCAAGCGCUAUGUAGGACGGUGGUAUCUUCGUCCUGAUGUUCGUCCAGGUACAAUUAUAUUACAUUAUGAAGUGAACGUGACACCUAGACUGCUGUUCCCGGCGGCCUUUGUUGAGAAGAUUAUCAAGUCCGACCUCCCCACCAAUUUACGGGCUAUAGCUGCGCGAGCAGAAGACUGCUCGAAUGUUUCACGAGUGGCAGCUGUGCAGACAAAGGAUGUUGUCUCUCCACGCUUGUUUCAGAAAAUUGAAAGAAGCAGUACAAAGACAAGAGAGUAUAGCACGGCUGGGUCUGCUGUUAAAACCGCCCUGAAACCCGUUCUAGCGGAGCCAAUGAAUUUGAGUGGAGGGUCGUCUGCUCCUGUGGAAUGGAAUGAGAGGUCGAGGCUGAUUAGUAAAGACUCCUCGUGGGGAGCUAUUGGAUCAACUUGUAAAGUUGGAAAGCCAUGUGCUGUAGAUGAAGUCCACUUGAGGCGUUUCGAUGACUUGUUGGAGAAUGGAGGAGUACACAGGCGGGUAGUAGCAGCUAUCACAGUCGAGGCGCCAGCUCAUAGCGUGUGGGCUGUUCUUACUGCGUACGAGAGUCUUCAAGAGUUCAUACCCAACCUAGCAAUUUGCAAGGUAUUGACUCGGGAGAAAAACAAAGUUCGUUUGCUACAGGAGGGCUGCAAGUGUCUUUUGUAUAUGGUUUUACAUGCUCGAGUUAUAUUAGAUCUCUGGGAAAGACCUCAGUAUGAGAUUUUGUUUCAACAAGUCGAAGGGGAUUUUGACAGUUUCCAAGGGAAAUGGACCCUAGAGCCUUUGGGAGCACAGCAUACUUUGCUCAAGUAUCUAGUUGACACCAAGAUGCACAAAGAUUCUUUGCUUGCUGAGGCUCUUGUUGAGGAGGUCAUAUAUGAAGAUUUACCCGCAAAUUUAUGUGCUAUUCGAGAUCGGGUUGAACUUCUUGGGUCCAAUAGUUUACUGGACAGUAGAAAUGAAGUUGUUGAGAAGCUUGAAAACAUCAAGAAGCAAGAAUUUCUUGUCCCGAAAGAAUCUUUCGUAAUUCCAGAUUCACUUAAAGACGUUGGUAAGGACGAUGACAAGCAUGUGGUCAAAAGUGAUCUCAAACCUUCUCCACGGAUCCGACAAAGGCCUCUGGUCGCUGGCCUCCAGCGUGAUUUUAACAUUCUUCAACAAGAGCUUUUAAAAUUUAUUGCUGAAAAGGGCACCAAGGGUGUGAUGCCUUUGAGAUGUGAGUUGAGGGAAGCUGGGCGAGUGGACUUGGAGAAGGCCAUAACUCGUAAUGGAGGCUUUGGUCCUGUAGCUUCCAAAUUGAACCUCUCAUUGGCAUAUAAGGAGCGGAAGCCUAGAGGCUACUGGGACAAUUUGCAGAAUGUCCACAAAGAGAUUCUACUGUUCCAAAAAGAACAUGGAAAUGAUAGGACGACCAUGCCAACCCGACAGUCAUUAGAAAGAGCAGGACGGUAUGACCUGGCACGGUCAUUGGAAAAAUGGGGAGGGCUUCGAGAGGUUGCACGGGUAUUAGGACUCCAAGUGAAAAAGCGGCAAAAAUCUCGUACUGCAAAGACCGAUGUUGUGCCUGCCCUAGCGCCGAAGGAUUCCGACGAAAGUGAGACUGAUAUUAAAGUACCUCUAAAGACUAUGCUUCCAUUAAAAUCAAGAAAAUGGGUCACUAUGCGCCGCUAUAGUACGGAUUUCACUGAUUAGUGAGGCUUCCGAAAAACUCCCGGAGAAUUCUUCAUCGCUUCCUUGUGCAAAAUCACUUGGAGCUCAAUCGCGAGUCUCGAAUUUGUUGGAAGAGGAGACGAAUUUGUGGACUUGAAAAAUGGAAACAUAAACGUAAUUAUAGCAUAAAUGACUACAUUCAUAGUGUUCUAUCCUAUCUGAAAUUAGCAUCUAUUUGACUGAUUUAUUCACAGCGUGGGUGGAUGUGAAGAUAGGUAUGAAUAUGAAACCCUUCAAAAAUGCCUAUUGGUACUCUUCUAAUUGGAAUCACGACUGGGACUUACUAGCGAUUACUUUAUCUUUAGUGGUGAACUAAUGAUGUAGAAUAUUUAGAAACCACAUGGUAACAUAUUCAUGCUUAUCACAGCUACAUCGCUGCGUCCACCUGAUUUCAAUUCUCACCCUUGUUGGCUUUCCGGAACCGCUUCCGAAAAGCCAACAACAAUAUUGACACGGUUCCAGAAAAAUCUGGUGGAGCUUUGGACUAACUUGUUACUUAAAAAUUUGCGCUAGGCUUGCAUCA